UACGGAGGGGGCAAGCGUUGUUCGGAAUUACUGGGCGUAAAGGGCGCGCAGGCGGCUGCUCAAGUCAGGCGUGAAAGGCCUGGGCUCAACCCGGGAAUUGCGCUUGAGACUGGGCUGGCUUGAGUGCGGGAGAGGAUGGUGGAAUUCCCAGUGUAGAGGUGAAAUUCGUAGAUAUCAGGAGGAACGCCGGCGGCGAAAGCGGCUCUCUGGCCCGGUACUGACGCUGAGGUGCGAAAGCGUGGGGAGCAAACAGG
rnacentral:rRNA from 1 species